ACUGAACGCUGGCGGCGUGCCUAACACAUGCAAGUCGAGCGGUAACAGGUGUAGCAAUACAUGCUGACGAGCGGCGGACGGGUGAGUAACGCUUGGGAAUCUGCCUGUUAGUGGGGGACAACCCGGGGAAACUCGGGCUAAUACCGCAUACGCACUACGGUGGAAAGCCGGGGACCGCAAGGCCUGGCGCUAACAGAUGAGCCCAAGUCGGAUUAGCUAGUUGGUAGGUAACGGCCUACCAAGGCGACGAUCCGUAACUGGUCUGAGAGGACGACCAGUCACACCGGAACUGAGACACGGUCCGGACUCCUACGGGAGGCAGCAGUGGGGAAUAUUGGACAAUGGGCGAAAGCCUGAUCCAGCGACGCCGCGUGGGUGAAGAAGGCCUGCGGGUUGUAAAGCCUUUCGGUGGGGAAGAAAAGCCUCGAGUUAAUACCUCGGGGUCUUGACGUAACCCAUAGAAG
rnacentral:rRNA from 1 species